AACGUAGGAGGCGAGCGUUAUCCGGAUUUACUGGGCGUAAAGCGCGUGCAGGCGGUUCGGCAAGUUGGAUGUGAAAGCUCCUGGCUCAACUAGGAGAGGCCGUUCAAUACUACCGAACUUGAGGGCAUCAGAGGAAGGUGGAAUUCCCGGUGUAGUGGUGAAAUGCGUAGAUAUCGGGAGGAACACCAGUGGCGAAAGCGAUCUUCUGGGAUAAUACUGACGCUCAGACACGAAAGCUAGGGUAGCGAACGGGAUUAGAAACCCUGGUAGU
rnacentral:rRNA from 1 species